rnacentral:rRNA from 1 species
CCCUACUAUGCCCAACUAUAAAAAACAAUAAAAUUACCAAUUGUUCGCCAAAUAACUACGAGUAAAAACUUAAAAUUUAAAAGACUUGACGGUACCUUAAAACAGCCUAGAGGAGCCUGUCAAAUAACCGAUACCCCACGAUUAACCUAACCACCCCUAGCCUAACAGUCUAUAUACCGCCGUCGCCAGCUUACCUUAUGAAAGUAACAAAGUAAGCAUAAUAGCCACACACUAAUACGACAGGUCGAGGUGUAACACAUGGGUUGGUCCAAGAUGGGCUACAUUUUCUAACCCAGAAAAUACGAAAAGACCCUGAAACAAGAAACUGAAGGUGGAUUUAGCAGUACAUUAAGAACAAAAUACCUAAUCGAAACAUGCAAUAAGGUACGUACACACCGCCCGUCAUCCCUGUAAACUCAACAAACAUUUUAUAAACAAACUAGAACUUAAAACAGGGCAAGUCGUA